CACACACACACACGCACGCACGCACGCACGCACACAUUUUAAUUUCUGUGAGUGUAUGGUGCCGAACCCGUACCCUAUUUAAGACCAGUGCUGAUCUAUUCCUGACCUUCACUAAAACUUCAUUCACACCAAACCUCUAAAACCAACUGUUACACUUUCUUUCAAAGUCAGGACCACAAAAAUGUCCUCCCUCUGCUGGUGAGAGCCUCUUGAUGGUCUUCAGUGAGUACACAGAGACAUCACGCCCUCGUGUGGCCUGGCUGAAGACACGCCUGUAAAGGCAUACGAGCCCCGCCCACCUGCAAGCCGCCGGCAUCACCGGCAGUUCUCAGUUCGACUGCUGCUCUUCACCGAGCUAGGCAGCGAAGGGGGCAGGCCUGCGUUCCUCGUCCCUCUCCUUCAGGGAGCAGUGGUUCUAUGCUGAACCGAUGUAGAGAUGACCAGAAGAAACGAGGAGCGGUUCUGGUCACUCAGCUCCAAGAACAUGAACUACACCUGGUUAGCAUCAACUGUGUACCUGCUGUCCUCUUGUCCUCCUCCAACCUUAAGCAGUGGUUCCUGAACCUUUUCUUCAACAAUUCAGUGAUUUCAAGUCCUUAAAUAAAUCCACAUUUCCAUCUGUGA